UGGACAGAGAGCAAAUGAUAUGGCUUGUGUUGGUGUUCCCUGCAAGAUCCAUCUGGGGAAGGUGGGUAGUUGUAUUUCAUUUGAACCAUUGAAAUUUCAACAAUAAUCUUCCCCACAUCG